rnacentral:misc_RNA from 1 species
GAAAACUAGCGUACACACGCGUAGAAGCGAUUUAGCGUUUAGUUAACGUUAGCGAUAUCGUAAUAUUUUCGGCGCGAAAUAUCAAAGAUCUGUCUAUUGUGAAGAUUAGAUUUAAAAAAUGCAGAAAAAGCUGAUUAAAAGCGCGGAGUUAUGACGAGAUUUGUAAACGUUUCAAGUAAUUAUUUUUUAAAAGGCUUAUUUAAUCAUACAUAAUAAUGUUGAUAACGUAAAAAAAGUGCCGGUCAUUCAUAUUAAAUAUAUAAUAUCGAUAACUGUGUUAAAGAUGUGUGUGCAACGUAUUGGCUGUCUUGUAUCAGUUAAUUAAUUUACAUUUCUUUACGUGUUAGUGAAAUAAAACAUUCAUGAUGGAUAUACAUGAAAUACAUCAGAUGCCAAAUAAGAGUAACGAAGACCUAACUCCAGAGGAAAAAUGGAAAGUGGAGCAUAUAAAGAUGCACGAACAGCAUAUGGGUCACGAAUCCAUGCAUGCAGAGAUGCUACUUAUAUUAUUAGUGACAUUAACAAUAGCACAGAUUGCAUUAGUUGAAUGGAAGAAGAGGCAUUUUAAAUCAUAUCAGCUUGUAACACUAGUAGCCAUGUGGAUUAUUCCAUUUGGAAUAAGCUUAAAGAAUCACUGGUGGAGAUUUAUAUUUUUGUGGCUUUUAUCUUCGUGUAUAACAGGUCUAGUGGUAAGAAAAGCUAUUCAAAGACCAAUAUUAGGUACAACACCUAGACUAGUGUACAAAUGGUUUUAUUUCAUUUAUAAGCUCAGUUAUGCACUGGGCAUAAUCGGCUAUGUUUUAAUGUUACUUACAUUUGUUGGUCUAAAUAUUAUAUUAGACAUUAAGCCUCAUGUUUGGAUGGACUGGGGUAUACUACUUCUAUUUUAUGGUCUUUAUUUUGGAGUAUUAGGAAGAGAUGUCGCUGAAAUAUGUGCUGACACAAUGGCAUCACAUAUUGGAUAUUACACUCCAGGCAGUAUGCCAACUAGAACUCUAGAACCAAAUGUUUGUGCAGUAUGUGGAAACAAACUUCUUGUUUCGGAACAUGAAGAAGGUGUGAUUGAAAAUACAUACAAACUUACUUGCGAACAUGUUUUCCAUGAAUUUUGCAUUAGGGGCUGGUGUAUUGUAGGAAAAAAACAGACUUGCCCUUAUUGUAAGGAAAAAGUGGAUUUAAAAAAAAUGUUUCGCAAUCCAUGGCAACGGCCACAUGUUUUAUUCGGCCAGUUACUGGAUUGGUUAAGAUGGUUAGUUGCUUGGCAACCUUUAAUUUUGUUCCUAGUUCAAGGUAUAAAUUGGGCUCUGGGCCUUGAAGAAACGAAGGAGGAUCAGCAUAAGGUGAUUGGCGAAACAGAAUAGCUACUGCCGUAUUGUCGUGUAGUUUUUCUGCUAGAGCACCGACAAAUAAGUUCCUAUUGUCGCAUUCGCAGUCAGAGAAAAACAACUUUCAUCACAUCACGUAUCCAUAGGUACUUGUCAGACCACGUCGGACCCGUCGCGAGAAUAUCGUAUAUAUAUAUGUAUUUAUACUUAUAUACAUAUAUUUAUCUGUAUACCUAUAGUCUAAAGUCUUUCACGAACAUUCGUGAGGUGUGAAAUUACGUCAAGGCGCGCAAAGGUAGAGGAGGAGGAGGGAAAAUAGUGCGCGAAAUGAGAUAACAGAGGGUGAGAGAG